CGUGCCUAAUACAUGCAAGUCGAACGGUCUUUCUAUGGAAGCUUGCUUCCACUGAGAAGAUAGUGGCGAACGGGUGAGUAACACGUGGGUAACCUGCCCAUAAGAGGGGGAUAACAUCCGGAAACGGGUGCUAAUACCGCAUAGUUUUCAUGAUCGCAUGAUUGAGAAAGGAAAGACGGCCUUUGUGCUGUCGCUUAUGGAUGGACCCGCGGCGUAUUAGUUAGUUGGUGAGGUAACGGCUCACCAAGACGAUGAUACGUAGCCGACCUGAGAGGGUGAUCGGCCACAUUGGGACUGAGACACGGCCCAAACUCCUACGGGAGGCAGCAGUAGGGAAUCUUCCGCAAUGGACGAAAGUCUGACGGAGCAACGCCGCGUGAGUGAAGAAAGGUUUUCGGAUCGUAAAACUCUGUUGUCAGAGAAGAACAAGUUGGAGAGUAACUGCUCCAGCCUUGACGGUAUCUGACCAGAAAGCCACGGCUAACUACGUGCCAGCCGCCGC
rnacentral:rRNA from 1 species